rnacentral:lncRNA from 1 species
GGCUCCGAGUUUGAUCUAAUCAAAUCCGGUUCUGUAGAUUUACUAGAUUAUGUCGGUUCAUUUUUUACCAGUCAAACUUUCAAGUUCAACUUGAUAGGCAUCAGUUUCUUUUCUAAGAAACUUUUUUCCAAAAGGAAUGCCCUACUGCUGAUGAGCAUUUUAUAUUCUUCAGCAUGAUAGAAUUAGUAACCCUUAAACACCUAUUGGACCA